rnacentral:rRNA from 1 species
UACGUAGGGGGCAAGCGUUGUCCGGACUUACUGGGCGUAAAGCGCGUGCAGGCGGUGCCGUAUGUGCCGUGUGAAAGCUCUCAGCUUGCCUGGGAGAGGGCGCGGUAGACAGCGGUGCUGGAGGCUCGGAGAGGGUAGUGGAAUUCCCGGUGUAGUGGUGAAAUGCGUAGAUAUCGGGAGGAACACCAGUGGCGAAGGCGACUACCUGGCCUGUUCUUGACGCUGAGGCGCGAAAGCUAGGGGAGCAAACGGG